GAGUGAGGGAAAGAGAAUGAAGAGAAAGUGUGGUGAUAUUAUCUUUUAUUCGCAUUAGAGUCUACUCAGUAAUCCACAUAGUGACAUGGGAAAUUUGGAAUAUAAAAUUAGGGAAGAACAAUACCAGCCGACCAGCAUAAAGGUACCCUUUUUAUGGAUACUGCUGUUUUCUUAUUCAUAUAUGCAAUGUAAUGCUGCUGAAGGUGCUGCUAUCAUUGCAAUCCAUUUCCCAUCUUUUCCUUUUUAUGCUUGGAAUUUAGUUUUCUAUUGCACACCCCACUACCACACAACUAUAGGAGUUUACCACUGAGUCAUCUUCUUCUGCUUGCUUAUUAUUCAUCACUUUAAAUGCUUUCUCAGAGUAAAGGAUUAAUGAGUGUUUCCCUGCUUCAUUUAUCAUUUUCAACCAAGAAUGAAAGUUUGCCAUUCUCAAAGUUCCAAUCCAAGAACAAGGAAUUCGUCCAUGUCAUUGAAACCAAGGUUAGUUACAUUCAAUGUGUUACAAAGUAAAGGGACUUUUUCUUAAACUUUUUACUUAAUAAAGGGGUAUUUUUACUGCUUCUGAUCCAAACACAAUCAAUGUUUGUUGUCAUUUUCCAACCAUAAGAGGAUAAAACCAUGAAAUUCCUUGGACUUCUUUUCAAUGUAAUUAUUUGUCGGGGGCAAUGAAGUAUCAUGUAAAUAAUACCCAUUCUUGUAUACAUCUCAAUAUUGGGACAACUUCAAAGCUCUUCAUUUUAUAACCCUCCACUUGUUAUUGAAAAUUAUAAUCAAAACCCUUGGAAGAUAUCAUAAACAAUAGGAAUUAUAUUCAUAUGAUUACUGUUAACGACUUUUUCUUUUGGAUAAUACAAUGUUUCGAAGUUUGCAUAUCAUUCGUUAAUAUUAUAUAAACCCAUAAAUUUCAAGUUGUGGAAUAGUUUGAUUCUUUUUUACAAGUGUUUCAUUAUAUCGAAUUGUUUG
rnacentral:lncRNA from 1 species